rnacentral:ncRNA from 2 species
CUUGUAUCCCGAGCAGGCGGAGGGACUGGCCCGAUGAAGCCCGGCAACCACAUCGCGCAACGAGCUAGCGCGGACAAGUGUUCCCGGCGCGAUGAACGGUGCUAACCAGCAGAACAGGUAUGGAUACAUACUUGAUUCUGGAAGAUAAAGG